GUUAGAAAUUGUCUGCCAGGCUUCUGGAGGCACCUGGGCCGUGUGGGUUCACAGUGGUCAUUCAGGGAAUGGAUGGACAUGCUCCUGCAGUGCUCGGCCAAGCUCAGCCCUUGUUCAGCACACCAGCCCUGUGAGUCACACUGUCCCUGGAGGGACUGAGGAAUGUCCAGGGGUUGGUAGUGGCACAAAGGAUGGAGCCACUGAAACGCGGUGGGUGGACACAGGAAGAGGACGGCCGCACAGCGAGGCCACGCCUGGCCUGGCUCGGAGGAUGCGAGGAGGAUUCUCCAGCAGGCAGGCAUGGUCAGAGGGGCCACUGGGUAGCCAGAUAGAGUCCCUGUGCCGACCCCAUAGUCCACGGGGAGGAGCAGAGAGGCGGGUGAGGCCUGGGGAGAUGACAUCACAUGGCUGGGGCUACUCAGUGGUGAAGGAAGAGACAAAGCGGGACACUGCUCUGGCUACUGGGGGGAGCAGUGGUCCUUCCCACCUCUUGUGCCAGGUACAGCACUGGGGCCUGGGACCAGGACGAGCCUCAGAACACGGCUGGUGAGCACACCCACCUCCACCUGCACCCAUCCCCGCUCCCCACACACACCACACACACACUCAUCACACACACACUCAUCACACACACACCACACACACUCAUCACACACAUGCUCAUCACACACACCACACACACUCAUCACACACACGCUCAUCACACACACUCAUCACACACACCACACACUCAUCACACACAUGCUCAUCACACACACUCAUCACACACACCACACACACAAAUCGGGCCAUCACACAGACACCAUGCACCGCACACACUCAUCACACACACCACACACACAAAUCCAAUCACCUCACACACCCAUCCACCCCCAUCACAGCCCCCACCUCUGCUGAAUGGAGCCCCA
rnacentral:lncRNA from 10 species